UCCCCUGUGGCGCAGAUGGUUAGCGCAGCGCCCUGACCGAAGUCAAUCCUUCGGCUCGGCGCAGGUCGCGGGUUCGAGUCCCGCCAGGGGAA
rnacentral:tRNA from 1 species